CAGUCGCCGCGGGAAUACGAAGGGGGCUAGCGUUGUUCGGAUUUACUGGGCGUAAAGGGCGCGUAGGCGGACUGAUAAGUCAGGGGUGAAAUCCCAAGGCUCAACCUUGGAACUGCCUUUGAUACUGUUUGUCUUGAGUUCGAGAGAGGUAAGUGGAACUGCGAGUGUAGAGGUGAAAUUCGUAGAUAUUCGCAAGGACACCAGUGGCGAAGGCGGCUUACUGGCUCGAAACUGACGCUGAGGCGCGAAAGCGUGGGGAGCAAACAGGAUUAGAUACCCCUGUAGUCCCUGUCUCUUAUAC
rnacentral:rRNA from 1 species